rnacentral:misc_RNA from 2 species
AACGCACAUUGCGCCCCUUGGUAUUCCGGGGGGCAUGCCUGUUCGAGCGUCAUUUCAACCCUCAGGCUCCGGCUUGGUCUUGGGCUCUGCCGGUUACGGCUUGCCUUAAAAUCAGUGGCGGUGGCAGUCGAGCUCUACGCGUAGUAGCUAUAUUUUCGCGAUUGAGUCUCGCUGUGCGCUGGCCAGCAACCCCUAAUUUUCUAUGGUUGACCUCGGAUCAGGUAGGGAUACCCGCUGAACUUAA